ensembl:lncRNA
AGAAGGGUAACUGUUGCUAAAAGCCCUUACAGAUAGAGACCUGGGUAAAGGAGCAAGUGGAGCUCAGCAGAGGGUGUAGGGAGGUAAGUGUGGUUAUGCGUCGGAACAAGCUCUACAACUGAUGCUUUCGAACUGUGAUGCUGGACAAGACUCUUGAGAGUCCCUUGGACAGCAAGGAGACCAAACCAGUCAGUCCUAAAGGAAAUCAACCCUGAACAUUCACUGGAAGGACUGAAGCUGAAGCUCUAAUACUGUUGCCACCUGAUAUGAAGAGCCGGCUCAUUGGAAAAGACCCUAAUGCUGGGAAAGACUGAAGACAGGAGGAGAAUGGGAUGAUACGGCUGGAUGGCAUCAACAACUCAAUGGACAUGAGUUUGAGCAAACUCUGGUAGACAGUGAAAAACAGAGAAGCUUGGUGCAACUGAGCAGCUGAACAACAAAACAUAGCCCCAGUCAGGCUGCAAGAUCCGUCGCUCCUGGUAAGUCAAGUCACUUUCCAAAACACCCUCGCACAGCUGCGCUGAUGGCCAGCUCCACUGGCAGCUGGUGGAGCCAUGACUCACGCUGUCACCACUCCCCCCAAACCUCUCCUGUGAGCACUUUGAAUCAAUGCAACAGGAAUGGACUUUUGCCACAGAUUGGCAUAUGCUGCCAAGAGCAUGCUUCCUCUCUGCUCAGAAAGGAAAACUCUCCAGGUGUUCACACCAACAAGAAACCACAAGAAAAUAUUUUUAUUCUGCUAUAGCCAUGAGGCUGGACACAUUUUCUCCAGGGGGUGCAUUUCUCUCUCAAGAGUUAAUUUGCACUCUGAGGUACCAUCUGUCUGUUCUCCAGCUGACUUUUCAAAGCAUCGCUGCCCCCUAAAUGGUCACCAGCCCUGCCCUGCCAGCCCCCAGGUGAUGCUGAACUCAGAGAACUAAACACUGAGCUGAAUUGUGCAGCAAUACAACCAUGGAAGGAACAACUCUGUGUCGCUGGUGGGCAGGACAGCAGGGGCGGGGGACGCUCUCAGGUCAGUUGUCCUGUCAUAUAUACCAAGGGGCCACACACAAACUUGUUCCUGGGGUAGUGUCCUUGCCAGAAGCCACCACACAGGUUAGUCUGUGGGGCAAGCACGUGCUCGUGGAAUCAUGUGCAGGAAGGAGCUUCAGAAGGUGCUGCCCUCCGGGAAGGAGGGAUAUGGGAUCAGGUGAGAUGGCUUGACUGUAUCUGUGAUGUUGUUUCUUAAGAAACCAGAAAAGGUCUGAACCAAAUAUUGCAAAGUUAUGUUGUUAAUGGGGGUAUUAUUUCCUUAUUGUCUGGGGUUUUUUCCUGCAUGG